GACGUAGGGCGCGAGCGUUUGUCCGGAUUUAUUGGGCGUAAAGAGCUCGUAGGCGGCUUGUUGCGUCAGCUGUGAAAACCCGCAGCUCAACUGUGGGCUUGCAGCUGAUACGGGCAGGCUUGAGUUCGGUAGGGGAGACUGGAAUUCCUGGUGUAGCGGUGAAAUGCGCAGAUAUCAGGAAGAACACCUAUGGCGAAGGCAGCUCUCUGGGACGGUACUGACGCUGAGACGCGAAAGCGUGGGGAGCGAACAGG
rnacentral:rRNA from 1 species